CCCUUAGAUGUUCUGGGCGGCCCGCGCACUACAUUGGCACUCUCAAUAAGUUCCUAGAUCUAAAACUUUGGGGUAUUCUAUUAAGUGGUGUCGUGACUGGGAUUAACCCUUGCAAUUAUUGGUUACGAACGAGGAAUUCCUUGUAAUCGCGGUCUAUCAGCCCGCGUUGAAUGCGUCCCUGCCCUUUGUACACACCGCCCGUCGCUCCUACCGAUGAAUCGUCCGGUGAAGUUCAUGGAGUGGUGGUUGUUCCAGCUGCUGUCGAAGUGAAAUGGACCUCACGAUUUAGAGGAAGGAGAAGUCGUAACA
rnacentral:rRNA from 1 species